AUGGAAAAGUUUAUUACUCAACGAGACAGAGAUGAGCUGCACCAGAUUAUAGCUAAAUAGCUAGUUUCCAUCCGCAGUCCCUGGGCACAUCAAAUAAAUUAACAGUGAAAUAGCACAAUAUUCUAAAACUCCUCUCCAGCAAU